rnacentral:rRNA from 1 species
UGUCUUCGCAUGGUUGCAACGGGUAACGUAGGGUUAGGGCUCGACCCCGGACAAGGAGCCUGGGAAACGGCAACUACAUCCAAGGAAGGCAGCAGGCGCGCAAAUUACCCAAUCCCGACACGGGGAGGUAGUGACAAUAAAUACUGAUACAGGGCUCUUUUGGGUCUUGUAAUCGGAAUGAGUACAAUUUAAAUCCCUUAACGAGGAACAAUUGGAGGGCAAGUCUGGUGCCAGCAGCCGCGGUAAUUCCAGCUCCAAUAGCGUAUAUUAAAGUUGUUGUGGUUAAAAAGCUCGUAGUUGAACCUUGGGC